rnacentral:rRNA from 1 species
GUCUCAGUUCGGACUGAAGGCUGAAAUUCGCCUUCACGAAGUCGGAAUUGCUAGUAAUGGCAGGUCAGCAUACUGCCGUGAAUACGUUCCCGGGCCUUGUACACACCGCCCGUCACACCAUGAGAGUUAGGAAUACCCGAAGCCUGUGAGCUAACUUUUAGAGGCAGCAGUCGAAGGUAGAACUAAUGAUUGGGGUGAAGUCGUAACAAGGUAAC